GACGAACGCUGGCGGCGUGCUUAACACAUGCAAGUCGAACGGAAAGGCCCUGCUUUUGUGGGGUGCUCGAGUGGCGAACGGGUGAGUAACACGUGAGUAACCUGCCCUUGACUUUGGGAUAACUUCAGGAAACUGGGGCUAAUACCGGAUAGGAGCUCCUGCUGCAUGGUGGGGGUUGGAAAGUUUCGGCGGUUGGGGAUGGACUCGCGGCUUAUCAGCUUGUUGGUGGGGUAGUGGCUUACCAAGGCUUUGACGGGUAGCCGGCCUGAGAGGGUGACCGGCCACAUUGGGACUGAGAUACGGCCCAGACUCCUACGGGAGGCAGCAGUGGGGAAUAUUGCACAAUGGGCGGAAGCCUGAUGCAGCAACGCCGCGUGCGGGAUGACGGCCUUCGGGUUGUAAACCGCUUUCGCCUGUGACGAAGCGUGAGUGACGGUGAUGGGUAAAGAAGCACCGGCUAACUACGUGCCAGCCGCCGCGGUAAUAC
rnacentral:rRNA from 1 species